rnacentral:lncRNA from 1 species
UUCGGCGCUGCGCGCGGACGCCGGCGGCGCCCUGCCACUCAGCCUGGGGGCGGCGGGGGUCACGUGCCUCCUCCCCGUGGGCUGCGAAGUGCUGCCUCGUUCCUUAGAGCUGGCGCUAAUUGGCUGCGCGUAGCUACGGUUUUAUUACGCGUUUUUAAUCUCGAGGUGUUAAGGAAAAGGCAGAUGCGGUACUGCGGGUCAUAAUUUAGAGCAGUCACAGGCAUGGGCUGACUGUUGGGCUACAUGAUCUUAGCGGUCCAUCCACCCUCGAUGAUUCUGUGAUCCUAUGAAGUGGGGAAGAUGCUUUUCUGCAAGGUUACUUUUACUUC